UUCUCCCCUUCUCAGCAGAAAACUCGGAAAAAAAAAUCAGACCUAACAAAUUAUGCUACCUUGUUCGACAUCUUUCUUCUUUCCAUAUCGAUAAUUUUUCUGCUGAUGAUGAACUGCAGAUAUAGGAUAUUGAAUUCGUGAAGGUUUAGCAACUUCUUAAUUCGAAUUCCCAGUUCUAUCAUCAAUCAAAAACCACUUUCAAUCCCUCCAUUCAUCUGCAAUUUGAUUGCGGUAACCCCUUUCUUCUUUCCUAUCAUCCUGAAAAGAUGCAGUUCUUUUUGAAGUUAUCAAGGAUGAGUCUUUUCCAUAGACAAGCAGCUCCAAGUCCACACAACAAUGGAGUUUGCGCCGUGGUGGAGCCACACAGUCCAAUAUAAGGAGAUGAGCAUCAGUCUAUAACGUACUGCGCUCCUCCUUCCAGGAUGAUCAAUAUUCAUACUGAGGAGAAUAGCCAAUUGCAGAUCAUUUUAAGUGUCUAUGCAAGCUGUGGACUCGCUACUACUCAAUGAUCAACUUAUGGAGUAGGAGAAAGUCUUGCACUACCAACCUAGCUUACGGAACAGUUCAAAGUUCAUAUCUUUGUCAAUGCUGAGCACAUCCAGUAGCCACAGUUUGAGGCUUGCAUAAUGAAUAAAUUAUGGAGUCCAAAGACACAGACCACAUUCACAGGCUUGUGAACUAUACAAAACUACAACUGAAAGCUCAUUGCAUUGCGAACUUCAGCAGUAACAGUGUGAUUCUUGCAGUUAAGAGGAGGAGGAGGAGACUGGUAGAUGAAAGAGUUCAACCAGUCAAGCUCUCAACUUAUGAUCAACAUCGUUUCAUGCUCAGUGGAAGGUAUAUGAAGGUAACUGAGUUUAGUACGUAAGUGUUUUUGUUCGCUACUGAUUUCAUCUAGUACUAUUUCAUCUAGGGAAAAUAGCCGUAGUUUCUCACAUUAUGGUUGAUGCAGUAAUAUAUUCUCUUACUCUCAAUCUACUCAUCAAGUAUGUCUUUGUUGUGUUAAGGGCGAAUGAGCAUAGUCGAGGUAAAUAUUUAUAUAUCAAGAACAAACUGUAGUAUAUCUCUGUGGUUUUUUUCAUUUUUUUUCUUGUUUUGUUUCAUCCUAAACAAAAAAAAAUUAUCUUCAGAGGAAUCUAAUUCCACUUGGUUGUUUUGAUUAUAUACCCUUUUUGUCAGUUUAGCAGUUUCAGUGUUUAAAGGAGAGAUUUUUGUAUUGGUUUUGCUAUAUUUUUUGAGGGGUGGUGGUGUUGGUGGAGAUGAAUGGGCAUGGAUAAGAACAAACUGGGUUUGACAUGAGGAUUCAUUCCUUUCGAGGAUCUCAUUCAUUAAUGGCAUUGCUUGAUUUAUUUUGUUCAUGUGAAGAUCUUUUGGUUUUUAUCUUUGUUGGAAUGACAUAAUUUUAUUUCUUUGAUGAAAUUGUAUAUGGUUGUGUUUUGCUGGUGGCAGCUCCUCUGGAAACAUUGGGAAGGGCUGCAGCUGAAUUGGAAAUAAAGAAGCUAGCAUCAUACAUAGGUGCAGAUGCUCGUCAGCAAAUAUGGUGUUUCUGGUUAAGCGUAGUUCAGUCGAGGUCCUUUUGAACCCAAAAACUGUAUUUAGAUUACAUGAGAAGCUUCCGUCUUGAUGAUUUUUUUCAACAAGGAGUAAUUUCUGAAAUUGAAGUUCUAUUGGGACCAUGUGGGGACUACGCUAUCCAUCAUACCUUGUAACGCAUAGAUGGAGGUACCCAUGCAUUGGGGAAUUCCAGGAAAUAAUUGGUUUUGAAGUGCUUUGGCUCAAAGUUGUAGCUGCAAUUAGGUAUACAAUUGCCUAGUUAGUUGCAUAUUAUGUUUGUUAUCACUGUAAUAGAACAUUGCAUCUAUUUACUGCUUCCAUGUAGAACAUUGCAGUUCAACUACCUGAUUUUGUUGUCUUUAUCAUCUGAGUAAAUAAGUUGUGAUAUUUGUAAACAUUUCUAUCUCCUAUUGUGAUACUUUUAA